CCUACGGGUGGCUGCAGUGAGGAAUAUUGGUCAAUGGACGCAAGUCUGAACCAGCCAAGCCGCGUGCAGGAAGACGGUUCUAUGAGUCGUAAACCGCUUUUGUACGAGGGUAAACGCAGAUACGUGUAUCUGUAUGUAAGUACCGGAUGAAUAAGGAUCGGCUAACUCCGUGCCAGCAGCCGCGGUAAUACGGAGGAUUCGAGCGUUAUCCGGAUUUAUUGGGUUUAAAGGGUGCGUAGGCGGUCGGUUAAGUUAGAGGUGAAAGCCCGAGGCUCAACCUCGGAAUUGCCUCUGAAACUGGUAGGCUCGAGGAUGUUUGCGGUAGGCGGAAUGUGUGGUGUAGCGGUGAAAUGCUUAGAUAUCAUACAGAACCCCGAUUGCGAAGGCAGCUUACCAAGCCAACACUGACGCUGAGGCACGAAAGCGUGGGGAGCAAACAGGAUUAGAUACCCUAGUAGUC
rnacentral:rRNA from 1 species